rnacentral:rRNA from 1 species
UUAAGCUAAGAAGAGCGUAGGGAGAAUGCCUUGGCAUUAGGAGCCGACGAAGGACGUGAUAAGCUGCGAUAAGCUGCGGGGAUCAGCAAGUAUGAAUUGAUCCGCAGAUUUCCGAAUGGAGCAAUCCGUAUGUGUAUGCACAUACAUCAUAUACUGAAUCAAAUAGGUAUAUGAGGGGAACCGCCUGAACUGAAACAUCUAAGUAGGGCGAGGAAGAGAAAUCAACCGAGAUUCUGUGAGUAGUGGCGAGCGAAAGCGGAAGAGGCUAAACCAUAGGUAGCAAUACUUAUGGGGUUUCGGACAGCAUUUAGUAUUGAUAAUUUCUAGUUGAAACGUGUGGGAAAACGUACCGAAGAGUGUGAGAGUCACGUAAGCGAAAGAGAGAAUCAGCGAGCUGUAUCCAAAGUACCGCGGGACACGUGAAACCCCGUGGGAAGAUGGGGGGACCAUCCUCCAAGCCUAAAUACUACCUAAUGACCGAUAGCGAAUAGUACUGUGAAGGAACGGUGAAAAGAACCCCGGGAGGGGAGUGAAAAAGAACCUGAAACCCUAUGCUUACAAGCACCGAGAGCACGUCAAAGUGUGAUCGGGUACCUUUUGUAGAAUGGUCCGGCGAGUUAUUGUAUGCGGCAAGGUUAAGUGCUUAAGGCACGGAGCCGAAGCGAGAGCAAGUCUGAACAGGGCGAAAAAGUCGUAUGCAAUAGACCCGAAACCGGGUGACCUAUCCAUGGGCAGGCUGAAGUGGAGGUAAAACUCCAUGGAGGGCCGAACACACGUCCGUUGAAAAGGCCGGUGAUGAGGUGUGGAUAGCGGAGAAAUUCCAAUCGAACUCGGAUAUAGCUGGUUCUCUCCGAAAUAGCUUUAGGGCUAGCCUCGUGAAAGAUUACUGGAGGUAAAGCACUGAAUGGGCUAGGGGUCGAAAGAUUACUGAACCCUAUCAAACUAAGAAUGCCAGAUAAUUGAUUCACGGGAGUCAGACAAUGUGAGAUAAGUCUCAUUGUCAAAAGGGAAACAGCCCAGACCCACAGCUAAGGUCCCUAAACAUUGUUAAGUGGAAAAGGAUGUGGGGUUGCAUAAACAACCAGGAUGUUGGCUUAGAAGCAGCCACUCAUUAAAAGAGUGCGUAAUAGCUCACUGGUCGAGUGACCCUGCGCCGAAAAUUCAACGGGGCUAAACAAUGUACCGAAGCUUGGGAUUCUAGAUUUAUCUAGAGUGGUAGGAGAGCGUCGAAUAAGGGGUGAAGUCAGAGCGGAAGCGCUGGUGGACUUUAUUCGAGUGAGAAUGCCGGAAUGAGUAGCGAGAAUUAUGUGAGAAUCAUAAUGGCCGAAAAUCUAAGGUUUCCUGAGGAAGGUUCGUCCGCUCAGGGUAAGCCGGGGGCUAAGGCGAGGCGGAGACGCGUAGCCGAUGCACAUACGGUUGAAAUUCCGUAGCCACCGAAAGAUUUAAGUACAGGGACGCUUUAGAAGUGAUGUAGCCGGGCGAUGGUUGACCCGGUCGUAAGGGAUCGAAAAUGAGUAGAGAAGUCAUCAUGGAAAGAGACAAGAAAAGCUGUAUGAAUAUCUUAGGUGCCCGUACCGCAAACCGACACAGGUAGAUAGGAAGAAGAUUCUAAGGCCAACGGGAGAAGGGUUGUUAAGGAACUCGGCAAGUUGACCCCGUAACUUAGGGAUAAGGGGUGCUCAAGUGAUUGAGCCGCAGAGAAUAGGCCCAGGCGACUGUUUAGCAAAAACACAGGUCUCUGCUAAAUCGAAAGAUGACGUAUAGGGGCUGACACCUGCCCGGUGCCGGAAGGUUAAGAGGAGAUGUGAGAGCAUUGAAUUGAAGCCCCGGUAAACGGCGGCCGUAACUAUAACGGUCCUAAGGUAGCGAAAUUCCUUGUCAGGUAAGUUCUGACCCGCACGAAAGG